GUAGGGAAUAUUGCACAAUGGAGGAAACUCUGAUGCAGCGACGCCGCGUGAGUGAUGAAGGCCUUCGGGUCGUAAAGCUCUGUCGCAGGGGAAUAACACAAUGAAGGUACCCUGUAAGAAAGGAUCGGCUAACUUCGUGCCAGCAGCCGCGGUAAGACGAGGGAUCCUAGCGUUGUUCGGAAUCAUUGGGCGUAAAGCGGAUGUAGGUGGCUAUGUAAGUCAGAUGUGAAAGCCUGGGGCUCAACCCCAGAAGUGCAUUUGAUACUGCGUAGCUUGAGUGUCGGAGAGGUUACUAGAAUUGUUGGUGUAGUGGUGAAAUACGUAGAUAUCAACAGGAAUACCGGAGGCGAAGGCGGGUAACUGGCCGAACACUGACACUGAGGCCCGAAAGCGUGGGGAUCAAACAGGAUUAGAUACCCCAGUAGUCC
rnacentral:rRNA from 1 species